AUAACAUCUGGGAAAAAGAGGAGUAAACAUUACGUAUUUAGUAGAGAAAAGAAUCCAUCGGCUGUAAGGUUCUUUAAAUGGCGCGUGUUGAAGGUAGCUUUGGAGAUGAGUUUCUGAAAAAGAGUAAGAAAUUCCGGUGAGAAUCGUUAAAUCUGUCGAGAGUUAUGAUGCAAGUCAUAAAAUUAGGGUGGUAACGCGGUCCAUUCGUCCCUUUC
rnacentral:ncRNA from 1 species